UUGAAAGGGAAACGAUUGAAGUCAGUCGUACCAGCGGGAAUCAACCUUUCGAGUGGGGAUUUGGAGUUUUGAAGAGUGUCAAAACCUUUGAGAUUUCAAAAUUUUCGCUCCUUUGGUGUACUUUCUCGUGGGUAGGUUAACAUCGAUUUCGAUCAUCCAAAAAAGGUUGGGGGAAGGGGGCCCCCAUUUUUUGUUGGGGGGUUAUAUCCUUUUUUGAAAAAUGUGAUGAUUGGGAUCGAGGAUUGCAACGAAUAUCCUUUUGGGCUAUCCGCCUGAUCUCUGAUACGUGGCCUUGGCAUCGAAAGCUUGCUUAUGGUAUCAAGGUAUUACGGUCAAAAGGUAGAACGGAUUACUUUCGUUAAGGAUGUUGACGUA
rnacentral:rRNA from 1 species